rnacentral:rRNA from 1 species
GACGAACGCUGGCGGCGUGCUUAACACAUGCAAGUCGAACGGAAAGGCCCUGCUUUUGUGGGGUGCUCGAGUGGCGAACGGGUGAGUAACACGUGAGUAACCUGCCCUUGACUUUGGGAUAACUUCAGGAAACUGGGGCUAAUACCGGAUAGGAGCUCCUGCUGCAUGGUGGGGGUUGGAAAGUUUCGGCGGUUGGGGAUGGACUCGCGGCUUAUCAGCUUGUUGGUGGGGUAGUGGCUUACCAAGGCUUUGACGGGUAGCCGGCCUGAGAGGGUGACCGGCCACACUGGGACUGAGAUACGGCCCAGACUCCUACGGGAGGCAGCAGUGGGGAAUAGUGCACAAUGGGCGGAAGCCUGAUGCAGCAACGCCGCGUGCGGGAUGACGGCCUUCGGGUUGUAAACCGAUUUCGCCUGUGACGAAGCGUGAGUGACGGUAAUGGGUAAAGAAGCACCGGCUAACUACGUG